UACGUAGGGGGCAAGCGUUGUCCGGAUUUAUUGGGCGUAAAGAGCGUGUAGGCGGCCAUACAGGUCAGCUGUGAAAACUCGAGGCUCAACCUCGAGACGUCGGUUGAAACCGUAUGGCUAGAGUCCGGAAGAGGAGAGUGGAAUUCCCGGUGUAGCGGUGAAAUGCGUAGAGAUCCGGAGGAACACCGACGGCGUAAGCAGCGCCCUAAACGAGUACUGACGCUCAGGCACGAAAGCUGGGGGAGCAAACAGG
rnacentral:rRNA from 1 species